GACGAACGCUGGCGGCGUGCUUAACACAUGCAAGUCGAACGGAAAGGCCCUGCUUUUGUGGGGUGCUCGAGUGGCGAACGGGUGAGUAACACGUGAGUAACCUGCCCUUGACUUUGGGAUAACUUCAGGAAACUGGGGCUAAUACCGGAUAGGAGCUCCUGCUGCAUGGUGAGGGUUGGAAAGUUUCGGCGGUUGGGGAUGGACUCGCGGCUUAUCAGCUUGUUGGUGGGGUAGUGGCUUACCAAGGCUUUGACGGGUAGCCGGCCUGAGAGGGUGACCGGCCACAUUGGGACUGAGAUACGGCCCAGACUCCUACGGGAGGCAGCAGUGGGGAAUAUUGCACAAUGGGCGGAAGCCUGAUGCAGCAACGCCGCGUGCGGGAUGACGGCCUUCGGGUUGUAAACCGCUUUCGCCUGUGACGAAGCGUGAGCGACGGUAAUGGGUAAAGAAGCACCGGCUAACUACGUG
rnacentral:rRNA from 1 species